rnacentral:misc_RNA from 1 species
GCCAAAAAUAGAGUAAGAGAUGCAACAAAUUAAAUUGAGAAAAUAAGGAAAUUAUAAUGAAAUAAGCAAUUAAAUUUCUAAGCACUAUACUAAUUUACUAAGUUUCAGCAAGUAAUUAAAGAUUUAAUUAAUUAAUGGCAAAAAUUAAUUCUAGAGUUGAGGUUCAUGAAGUAAAUUUCAUUAGGAUUUGGAUAGGUAAAACCAAAAUUAAGGAAAAUACAAGUUUGAAGGAAGUUGA